UGAAUAUCCAACACCAUGCACACGUUCUCCUAUAGAACAUCCUGCUGCGUUUGUUCUAAUAAUCUCUGGGAAGCACUUUGGUCAACAGUCAUUAAAUAGCUUCAUUAAAAACGACUCCACGACCAACUGGAACAAACUCAGUUCGUCUGGAGUCAAACAUUGGAGAUCUCUUUAGUGGUAGAACCCCCACAGGAGAACGUCAGUGGUUGUUUCCUUUUAGUGCCACGAACAUCCAGGUUCACCUCAGAGUUCAGGAUGUUCUAAACAAACAACCGUUUCUCUUCGUACCUUCAGGAUUUCUUCCUCCAGUUCUGCUGUUUACUACAUCAUUUAGUCCAUCAGGAAUAACAACAAAGAACUUGUUGAGAUCUUUGGUUCCACCUUCUACCUGGUUUAUCAGUCAAACUAGAACCUGAGGUGUUCCACAUGGUUCUGUCAUCGGCCCUCUAAAGGUUCUGUCCUCACCUGAUUUCAGGAUUUCACUGAAACUAAAUCACUUUAGUCUGGAAUAAAUGUUCCUCUAGAAGGUUGUGAUUUAUAUUUUAGGUUUUUGAGAGGUAUUAGUGUUCAUUUGGAGGCUGUGAUUUGUUUUUCUAACUUUUUGUUGGGUGUUUUCAUGUCAAAAUAUUCAUAUCUGAUUACUUAAAAUCCUGCUAGCUUGUAAUGGAGCUGCUCUAUGAGGUUCAUUAGGGAAGUACCAAUCUAGUUUCUUUUGCCUAUGAUCCAAUCUAAGACAUUUAAUAUUUACUAUCUAUAGACACCAAAUCCUGAUUUGAUACAAUCUUCCUCCAUAAAACACACUUCAAGUACAUAAAGUUAUUAAAAUUAAUCCAGUUUAGAUGCUUGACAACUGAAUAUAUCUGCAAUAUAUUAGGAAAAAACUACAUUUCUGUUUCCAACCUUUUCCUUAAUGUUCUGUUGGUGGAACCUUGUUGUAAAGCUCCAGUAGAACCCUGUUUAAAUGUAGUAUUAGAGGCUAAUGAUGGAAAAAGUCCAUUAAAAAGUGAUAAAUCUGGACCCACCUCUAUGGACUUCAAGGUUCUACAAUGUUCUAAGUGAUACUAAACUUAAACAAUGGAAUCAAGAAAGGAGAACGUCCCCUACAGAAAGUUCUAGAAGUAGACCACAGACAACUGUAGAAAGUUCUAGAGUAGACCUACCAACACCUGGAGAAAGUUCUAGAGUAGACCUACCGAC
ensembl:lncRNA